GAUGAACGCUGGCGGCGUGCCUAAUACAUGCAAGUCGAGCGAACGGACGAGAAGCUUGCUUCUCUGAUGUUAGCGGCGGACGGGUGAGUAACACGUGGAUAACCUACCUAUAAGACUGGGAUAACUUCGGGAAACCGGAGCUAAUACCGGAUAAUAUUUUGAACCGCAUGGUUCAAAAGUGAAAGACGGUCUUGCUGUCACUUAUAGAUGGAUCCGCGCUGCAUUAGCUAGUUGGUAAGGUAACGGCUUACCAAGGCAACGAUGCAUAGCGGACCGAGAGGGUGAUCGGCCACACUGGAACUGAGACACGGUCCAGACUCCUACGGGAGGCAGCAGUAGGGAAUCUUCCGCAAUGGGCGAAAGCCUGACGGAGCAACGCCGCGUGAGUGAUGAAGGUCUUCGGAUCGUAAAACUCUGUUAUUAGGGAAGAACAGAUGUGUAAGUAACUGUGCACAUCUUGACGGUACCUAAUCAGAAAGCAACGGCUAACUACGUG
rnacentral:rRNA from 1 species